UACGUAGGGUGCGAGCGUUAAUCGGAAUUACUGGGCGUAAAGCGUGCGCAGGCGGUGAUGUAAGACAGGCGUGAAAUCCCCGGGCUUAACCUGGGAACUGCAUUUGUGACUGCAUCGCUGGAGUGCGGCAGAGGGGGAUGGAAUUCCGCGUGUAGCAGUGAAAUGCGUAGAUAUGCGGAGGAACACCGAUGGCGAAGGCAAUCCCCUGGACCUGUACUGACGCUCAUGCACGAAAGCGUGGGGAGCAAACAGG
rnacentral:rRNA from 1 species